AAUAUACUCCCUCCGUCCGGAAAUACUCGUCCGAAGAAUGGAUGUAUCUAGAUGUAUUUUAGUUGUAGAUACAUUCAUUUUUAUGCAUAUCUUCGACAAGUAUUUCUGGACGGAGGGAGUACAAA
rfam:Triticum aestivum genome assembly, contig: Triticum_aestivum_CS42_TGACv1_scaffold_322588_4BL